GACCACUUUGUCUCAAAUGGUGUCGCUAACAGGUGCCUUGUUUCUUCGUAAAAUUUGGAGUUGUCGUCUUCGUCGAUCCUUGUUUAUGCUGGAGUAAGGUCUGACCCCUUUUCAAUAUUUGCUUUAUCUGGAACUGGAAUUAACGGGAGAGCUUCUGGAUCUUCAGGGAUAAAGAAAGUUGAGGAAAAAAUUCAGCAAACUUUGAGUCAAAGCACUGUGGAUGAGUCUAUAAUAUCACCAGAUGAUGCAGUUGGCAAAGUGCUAGGAAAAGAGCACUCUGAAAGGGUAAAGUGUUUGGGAUUAAGAGUUGUUCCCACUAGAGUUUUUAAACAAGAAAGACCUCGAUUCAGCGGUAUGAAUGCUUCGAGUGUUUCAUGUCCAUCCAAUUGCCAAGAGAACUACAAUAAAUUAUUGAAUUCUCACAAUCAAAUGAUGGCUGCUUUCAAGUCAUAUAUGAUAAUGAAAGAAGGGACAUUACUAGAACAAUUUGUGGGGUUAUUUGCUCCUCCUCCUACAAUGACAGGUGAUGCCAGUGAUAGUAGUCGUAGUGACAAUCGUUGAAGUUCCAUGAAUAGUUGCAGGUCAUUUCUUGAGUAUGGAUGCUAGUGAACCCUUUUCAUCAAUAAAAGCAAGAUUAGCGAAUGACAGUUUUUGUAGUGAUUUGAAGUUUCUUGUAAUCGUAAUGGUUGAAGUGAAUGAGAUGUUUCAAUUUAGUUUGUA